UCUCCUCUUUGAUCAGGAGAGGGGGGAAGUGGUAUUUAUCCGCGUGUGACAGUGAUUCAUAGCUCUGCAUUUUGUUGUCGCUUGUUGCUGCAACUUUGAACUGAUUACAAACACAGCUGUCGGUCCUCUGACCUCUCACGGCGUCGACGGGAUAACCUGACGGGUUCAAAGGUUCGUGCGGUAUUUGUUUGUGAGGCCUCAAGUUUUCCUGUGCUCUCAGAGCCAGUGGUACUGCUGACUUUUUUUGCAUCACACAUGUUUGAUUUUAGGUUCAGCGACCUCUCAACUCACUUGGUCGUGUUGUUGGUUGUCAUGAGAUGAAUUGAGAAGAAGCUCUCCUAACGCUCAGAGUGGUGAUGUGUUUGGUCCCAGGAAUGUGUUUCCUCUGCUUUCCCCGGGGGCACGGACCCUUGUUUUUCAAGAGUGUUUCCGUUCUUUCUAUCCACAAAGGAAGAAGAGGUGGAGGCAUCCGUCAAGGACUCGUGUUCUCUGUUUUUGGGUGAAAUAUUGCAAAUUCCUAGAGUCAGUCAGUCUCGUCAUGGAGGUCCCUGCGAGCCUUCAGCACACGCAGGCCAUGGAGACGCAAGCAGAAGACGCACAUCUGCUGUUUGAAUACAUGCAACGGAAAUGUGAAUGCCAGAGAUUCCUGAGAUCGGGCUGACCCAGAUCUGACAUGUCCCACUCAUCACAAGACACAAACAAACACGCAUAUGUGUGUGUUCACAUACUGGCUCUUUAGUUCACGUAACUAACAACAGAGUCUGAUCUGCUUCACACAACGCGGGGCUUUAACUUUUAAAAAAAAAUUCAAAUGCUUUAUGUACAGUAAAUAAUUCUGCUAUUUUAUAAUAAAGGUUUUGCCAGAAUAUACACAUGCAUCAAUGAUUAAUGAAAAUAGAACCUUAAUUAUUACAGAAAACACUUUAUUUAUACCACAUCACAUCAUAUGCUCUAGAAUGAAUUUUGGCUGUGCAAACUAUUAUAAUGUCUACCACAUGUGUGGGUUUAGGUCAUUAACUAAACUUAUCGUUGGUCUUUGGCUGACUUGAGGCAUCUGUAUUUGCACUGCAGUCGUUCUAAGCACCAAAUUGGAAGCAUUCGCUGUGUGAAUGGUAUUUACAAGUGAGAAACUGGUUAUUACCAGGACUUUAUUACCAAUGGUUCAGAAUGUGCAGCUGAACA